GCCCAGAUGGUGGAAUGGCAGACACGCCAGAUUUAGGUUCUGGUGCCUCACGGCAUGUAGGUUCGAGUCCUAUUCUGGGCA
rnacentral:tRNA from 1 species